GCUGCCAGAUAGCCAUGCAUGUCUAGUAUAAGUGUUAUACAGCGAAACUGCGAAUGGCUCAUUAAAACAGUUAUAGUUUAUUUGACAAUCGAAUUUACAUGGAUAACCGUGGUAAUUCUAGAGCUAAUACAUGCUGGUGUGCCCGACUUUUCGGAAGGGCGGUAUUUAUUAGAUAACAAGCCAAUAUUCCUCUGGUCUAUUGUGGUGACUCAUAAUAACUGAUCGAAUCGCAAGGCCUAUGGCCGCGAUAAGUCAUUCAAGUUUCUGCCCCAUCAGCUUUCGAUGGUAGUGUAUUGGACUACCAUGGCGUUUACGGGUAACGGAGGAUUAGGGUUCGAUUCCGGAGAGGGAGCCUGAGAAACGGCUACCACAUCUAAGGAAGGCAGCAGGCGCGUAAAUUACCCAAUCCUGAUUCAGGGAGGUAGUGACAAGAAAUAACGGACCGAGGCCUUCGGGCUUCGGGAUUGCAAUGAGCCGAAUUUACACCCCUUAGCGAGGAU
rnacentral:rRNA from 1 species